UGGUGACCUUCUUCUCUUUACAUCUUCGUCAUCUACCUCAGUGUUCAAGGUCUCUCCAUCCAAAUACACCGUCAGAUCUUCAUUCAACAAAUCCAAUUCUCGUACCUGAGAUUCACGUCGGACAAUUUGGUUGUCACGCUCCUCCAAUAUCUUCUGCCAUUCUUCUGUUGAUUUCAAAGGUAUCUCCGAAGGUGUUAUAGCCAAAACUACUGUAUUGGUCUGCACUAAAUUAUUGGCCUCCUUUGCUAAUGCAGCUAGUUUAGUCUGCAACA
rnacentral:lncRNA from 1 species